rnacentral:misc_RNA from 1 species
GAUGAAGAACGUAGCGAAAUGCGAUAAGUAAUGUGAAUUGCAGAAUUCAGUGAAUCAUCGAAUCUUUGAACGCACAUUGCGCCCGCCAGUACUCUGGCCGGCAUGCCUGUUCGAGCGUCAUUACAACCCUCAGGCCCCCGGGCCUGGCGUUGGGGAUCGGCGGAAGCCCCCUGCGGGCACAACGCCGUCCCCCAAAUACAGUGGCGGUCCCGCCGCAGCUUCCAUUGCGUAGUAGCUAACACCUCGCAACUGGAGAGCGGCGCGGCCACGCCGUAAAACACCCAACUUCUGAAUGUUGACCUCGAAUCAGGUAGGAAUACCCGCUGAACUUAAGCAUAUCAAUAAGCGGAGGA